rnacentral:lncRNA from 10 species
UAGGGAUGAGAUUUCAAUUGCUCGGGGAUCGACGCAUCUCCUCACGUUGUCGAGGCCUUCACAAACCCAAAGUGGAACCGACAGGAAAACGAUGGACAACUGGCCACAGGACCCAGGGAGAGACGCCGAAAAAGGCUCACCAAAGACCGACUGACAUGCAAGAAAUUGCUUUCUGGUGCACGGGGCACAUUCGUCCAAACACACACACGCACAAGGGCACACACACACACACAUACAAACCGACAGAGAGAGGGAAAGAAAUAGAGAGUGAUAGCGAGAGAGAAGAGAAUGGGACACACACACACACACACACACACACACACGCACACAGUCA